rnacentral:rRNA from 1 species
GUCUACGGCCAUGCCACCCUGAACAAGCCUGAUCCCAUCUGAUCUCAGAAGCUAAGCAGGGUCGGGCCUAGUUAGUACUUGGAUGGGAGAGCACCUAGGUAGAUCAGGUGCUAUAGGUG